rnacentral:rRNA from 1 species
UACGUAGGGGGCAAGCGUUGACCGGAUUUAUUGGGCGUAAAGAGCGUGUAGGCGGCCAGACAGGUCCACUGUGAAAACUCGAGGCUCAACCUCGAGAGGUCGGUGGAAACCGUCUGGCUAGAGUCCGGAAGAGGAGAGUGGAAUUCCCGGUGUAGCGGUGAAAUGCGCAGAGAUCGGGAAGAACACCCGUGGCGAAGGCGGCUCUCUGGGACGGUACUGACGCUGAGACGCGAAAGCGUGGGGAGCGAACAGG